UCCAGCAGCCGCGGAAUACGUUCCCGGGCCUUGUACACACCGCCCGUCACAUCACGAAAGUCGGUUGCACUAGAAGUCGGUGGGCCAACCCGCAAGGGAGGCAGCCGCCUAAAGUGUGAUCGGUAAUUGGGGUGAAGUCGUAGCAAGGUAGCUGUAGGAGAACCUGCGGCUGGAUCACCUCCUUUCUAAGGAGCACCUCCGCCUCGGAUCAAAACGAGGUCGUCGACGGCAUCGUAAGGUGCCGAUUAGGUUGCACCCUAGGUCGACAGGAAUCGCGCGGCGCGCAAGCGUCGCAAUCGUUCGGCUUUCUUGAUCUUCCUGUUCAGUUUUCAGGGCAUCGUCCCUGAGGUCUUUGACAAUUGAAUACGGGGAAGUAGAUAAAGAGAUGCAAGGACUUUUCUUUACGAUUGUGAAGAGAAGCAACUGCAGAUCGCAUGAGAUCAAGGCACUUUAUGGUCAAGUUACUAAGGGUUGACGGUGGAUACCUAGGCACACAGAGA
rnacentral:sRNA from 1 species